UACGUAGGACCCAAGCGCUAUCCGGAUUUACUGGGCGUAAAGAGUUGCGUAGGUGGCAAAGUAAGCGAAGUAUGAAAUCUUGUGGCUCAACCACAAGCCUAUACUUUGAACUACUUAGCUAGAGCAUGAGAGAGGUAACUGGAAUUUCUAGUGUAGGAGUGAAAUCCGUAGAUAUUAGAAGGAACACCGAUGGCGUAGGCAGGUUACUGGCUCAUUGCUGACACUAAGGCACGAAAGCGUGGGGAGCGAACGGG
rnacentral:misc_RNA from 1 species